rnacentral:rRNA from 1 species
UACGGCGAGUGAAGCGGCAAAAGCUCAAAUUUGAAAUCUGGUACCUUCGGUGCCCGAGUUGUAAUUUGGAGAGGGCAACUUUGGGGCCGUUCCUUGUCUAUGUUCCUUGGAACAGGACGUCAUAGAGGGUGAGAAUCCCGUGUGGCGAGGAGUGCGGUUCUUUGUAAAGUGCCUUCGAAGAGUCGAGUUGUUUGGGAAUGCAGCUCUAAGUGGGUGGUAAAUUCCAUCUAAAGCUAAAUAUUGGCGAGAGACCGAUAGCGAACAAGUACAGUGAUGGAAAGAUGAAAAGAACUUUGAAAAGAGAGUGAAAAAGUACGUGAAAUUGUUGAAAGGGAAGGGCAUUUGAUCAGACAUGGUGUUUUGUGCCCUCUGCUCCUUGUGGGUAGGGGAAUCUCGCAUUUCACUGGGCCAGCAUCAGUUUUGGUGGCAGGAUAAAUCCAUAGGAAUGUAGCUUGCCUCGGUAAGUAUUAUAGCCUGUGGGAAUACUGCCAGCUGGGACUGAGGACUGCGACGUAAGUCAAGGAUGCUGGCAUAAUGGUUAUAUGCCGCCCGUCUUGAAC